CCUAAAAUAGGCUAAUCAAAUUCACAUGACCAAACUUGAUAAAAGACUACCCAAGAAUGCUACCGACAAAGUUUGGUGAUCAUCCAUCAAUUAUUUCUGUAGAAGAAGAUGUUUAAAGGUUUUUCUAUUUUUAGCCCUAGAGAUGCCUAAAAGGGGCCAAUCAAAUUAAUAUGAGCAAACUUGAUAAAAGACUUCCCAAGAAUGCUACUGACAAAGUUUGGUGAUCAUCCAUCGAUUAGUUCUGUACAAGAAGAUGUUUAAAGGUUUUUCUAUUUUUAGAAGACGAUUGUUGACGCAUGAUGACGGACGAUCGACGCCGGAGCAUCCCCCUUUGAUACUAAUAGCUCACCCUGAGCCUUCGGCUCUGGUGAGCUAAUAAAAACAACCCUAAAGCAUAUUAGAAUGGGUCUUUUUUACAAACUAGAUCCUGGUCCUGGCUGAAAUUGAGAGUAUUGCAGCUGUAGUUUGUAUACCAUACAUUUCACAUGAAAAGGACUGUUAGGAUGCUGCAUACAAUGGUCUUAGCUAGAGCCUAGAAUGAAUAUUUCUUAGGAAUAUGCUGCAAGUAACUGAAGGGGAGCAGUUUUUCUUACCUAUCAUAGAAGCAGUAAGAGACAGCCAACGAAGUAUUCAAACACCAUAUGAAACACUUAAGACAUACCAGGAGAGAUCUAGAAGAAGUACUAGUAGUAGAGUGGAACAGAUUGUAGCUUAAUUCUAGCUAAAAGGACUUCUUAAAUCGUUAAAAUUAAAGCUGCACUUAAACUGUCUUUUUUUGUUAAACAGUUAUACUCUGUUACUUUGCUUUAUAUUAAAAUUGAAGUAUGUUGAAAUGACAUUGAAACUUUAACGUUGUGCCAACGUUGAAUUUCAACGUUGUUUAAACUUUCAAAUCCGAACAUAAAUCCAACGUUAUUUCAACGUUAAAAUCUGACCAUAAUUCAACGUUGUUCAACGUUUAUGUGCCUGCUGGUUUAAUUCUAUCCAGGACCUAUUGGCGGUAUUUUAAAUAUUAUUCAAAAUUAUUUGAAAGUCUGAGGCUAAAUGCAUCAAUCAUGAUUUGUUAAAUCAAUAUCUAGGCUAAAACCUGCAUAGAUAUUGCUUGCACAUAAAAUAUUGCGUGGGAGUUAUCAACAAUAAAAGUUUGCGUGGCCGUUACCCAAAUCAUUUUUCUCUUGUGUGUUGGAAUAGAAAAUGACCAGUCAACAUUUAACAUGCCUAAUAUUUACAUUUUCAAAUAAAGAACUUCUAUGAACAUUUUCUCUUUGCUAACUCUACGUAGUUUAAUCAAAUUCAUAAAAAAUACAAAGAUUGCGUGAAUGUUACCCGAAAAAUAAUUGUCAACAUUGAAAAUUCCUGUUGAAUUUUUGAGUGUUUGUAAAAGCUAUGAGCACAGGGGUGGAAAAUAAGGUAUAGGCGGCAACAAUUCUUUAUUCCGCGUAGGCUGCAACAGGUCUCGUAUGUAAGUAAAAGGGAUAUAAUAAAGAAUUACCUGAAAAACACAUGUGAAGCGAGGUUUUUAGGCCGCCAUAUUGUCUGUACGCGUAACCGUAAAAGUCACGUGAUUCCCUACCGU